rnacentral:rRNA from 1 species
UACGGAGGGGGCUAGCGUUAUUCGGAAUUACUGGGCGUAAAGCGCACGUAGGCGGCUUUGUAAGUCAGAGGUGAAAGCCUGGAGCUCAACUCCAGAACUGCCUUUGAGACUGCAUCGCUUGAAUCCAGGAGAGGUGAGUGGAAUUCCGAGUGUAGAGGUGAAAUUCGUAGAUAUUCGGAAGAACACCAGUGGCGAAGGCGGCUCACUGGACUGGUAUUGACGCUGAGGUGCGAAAGCGUGGGGAGCAAACAGGAUUAGAAACCCCCGUAGUCC